GAUGAACGCUGGCGGCGUGCUUAGCACAUGCAAGUCGAACGAUGAAGCCCAGCUUGCUGGGUGGAUUAGUGGCGAACGGGUGAGUAACACGUGAGUAACCUGCCCUUGACUCUGGGAUAAGCGCUGGAAACGGCGUCUAAUACCGGAUACGAGCUUCCACCGCAUGGUGAGUUGCUGGAAAGAAUUUCGGUCAAGGAUGGACUCGCGGCCUAUCAGGUAGUUGGUGAGGUAACGGCUCACCAAGCCGACGACGGGUAGCCGGCCUGAGAGGGUGACCGGCCACACUGGGACUGAGACACGGCCCAGACUCCUACGGGAGGCAGCAGUGGGGAAUAUUGCACAAUGGGCGCAAGCCUGAUGCAGCAACGCCGCGUGAGGGACGAAGGCCUUCGGGUCGUAAACCUCUUUUAGCAGGGAAGAAGCGAAAGUGACGGUACCUGCAGAAAAAGCACCGGCUAACUACGUG
rnacentral:rRNA from 1 species